GGGGAGCUGUCAAGAAGCUUUGAUCCGUAGAUUUCCGAAUGGGGCAACCCAAUGUAUAGAGAUAUACAUUACCUAUAUAGGAGCGAACGAGGGGAAUUGAAACAUCUUAGUACCCUCAGGAAAAGAAAUCAAUAGAGAUUGCGUCAGUAGCGGCGAGCGAAAGCGCAAGAGGGCAAACCCAGUGCUUGCACUGGGGGUUGUAGGACUGCAAUGUGCAAGAGCUGAGUUUAGCAGAACAUUCUGGAAAGUAUAGCCAUAGAGGGUGAUAGUCCCGUAUGCGAAAAACAAAGCUUAGCUAGCAGUAUCCUGAGUAGGGCGGGACACGAGGAAUCCUGUCUGAAUCCGGGUCGACCACGAUCCAACCCUAAAUACUAAUACCAGAUCGAUAGUGCACAAGUACCGUGAGGGAAAGGUGAAAAGAACUGAGGUGAUCAGAGUGAAAUAGAACCUGAAACCAUUUGCUUACAAUCAUUCAGAGCACUAUGUAGCAAUACAGUGUGAUGGACUGCCUUUUGCAUAAUGAGCCUGCGAGUUGUGGUGUCUGGCAAGGUUAAGCAAACGCGAAGCCGUAGCGAAAGCGAGUCUGAAUAGGGCGCUUAGUCAGAUGCUGCAGACCCGAAACGAAGUGAUCUAUCCAUGAGCAAGUUGAAGCUAGUGUAAGAACUAGUGGAGGACUGAACCCAUAGGCGUUGAAAAGCCCCGGGAUG
rnacentral:rRNA from 1 species